AUGGCUCGCAGAGAUUGAGGAACUUGCCCAAGGCUACGCAGCUUGAAACUGAGGCUAAAGAGUUUAGUAUUCUGCCAAGGCCAGCUAAUAGUUACAGAGCAUGGUUCCAAAUUCAGAGCUGUCGGAAGCUUAAGCCCAUGUGAUGAACCACGAAUGUGAUUUUACCUCAUUUAAGCCUUGCAGCAAACUCUGCCAAGCUGUCUCUACCAGGCCAGAAUUUGGGGCAGGCAAGAUUUUCAGCAUCCCUAAAAUCACACUAAGAAGAUAAACAUGGAAACAGCUUGGAGCUGCCCUACCCAUAGUGAGGUGGUACUGACUGGAAGACAGCUUAAACGAUUUGGAGAAAAGUGGAAUACAUUAAUCUCAGAAAACUCUACCACCUGUAGAAAGAGAGCUAAAAUGGAGACAACCACAGGCAGUCUAAGAUACGCUGAACUACUACAGAAAAUAAUGCAGCAUGAAGGAAUGCUGGAAGGUAUGGGGUCAGAGCAAGCUGAUGGAGGGUCCUUCAUUUCCAAGCCACGAGUACAGCAGGAUGUAAGGCUUAGUUCAUAAGAACAUCUCCUGAAAGACAAUCUCUAUAAAAACUGUUUCAAUAGAAAGAAUGCAAGAUGUAACUGUUUAAUAAUAGGACUGAUAUUUUAAAAAACAAAUGAACGUAAUAGAAGACUAGAUGGAUGUGCUUCUCAAAGUCCUCUCUGUGGGAGGCUUCAUCCUCACUCUAGAUGUGUUGCCUGUAGCAGCUGUUAUUGAUUACCCGCCCAUAGCCUAUCCAUACUUACUCAUCAUUCCUUUACCUACCAGUGGCAUCCUAUUGGAAGCACCUGCGACUUUCUUAGGGCUUUCUCUUGGCCAAGCAUUGGAAGGCCAGCAGUAUUGAAAAGUUAAUAGUCUUGGAAGCACUGGCCCUCAACUAAUGACAAAGAAAAAAUAUAAGAUAAAUUCCCCAGCUUCCUUGCCUCCUGAAUGGGUCAAGUCUGUGGUGUGUUCUACCCGUUUUUCAGAGGUCCCAUGUUUUAAACCCUAGCUGCUCAAGGCAAUUUCCUGAUCAUUGAUGUACUCUCUAUUGGCUAAUUUUUAGAUAAUAUGGAAUAUGCUCAAAAUAGGAUACUCAAAGAAAAAAUCAGAUGCCAAAAUUAUGUACACCGAAUGAGUUCAAUUCUGUAUAAGUGUGGACAUACACACAUCAAAAGAAAUAUGGAACAAAAGAUACUAAAUGUUUAUAGUGGUUAUUUCUGGGUGUUGAAAUUUUAAGUGAUUUUCCUUUUCUUCUUUGUAAUUGUCUCUAUUUUUCAGUUUUUUCAAUAUACCCUGUAUUUCUUUUAAAAUCAGAACAAACCACCAUAAGUUAUUUUAAAAGGCUUAUAAAGCUGAUGAAUAUUUUGUCUUUGUUUCCUUUGUGUUGCCAUAGUCUGAGGGAGUAGUUCUCAAGUGUAGUCUCUGGACCAGCAGCAUCAACAUUACCUGGGAACUUGUUAGAAAUGCAAAUUCUCAGAGGAUGCCUAGGACCUUCUGAAUAAGAAACCCUCGGGGUUGGGGGUGAAGGGGACAGCAAUCGGCAUUUUAAGAAGCUCUCCAG
rnacentral:lncRNA from 1 species